CUACAACCGCACGGACUAGGUUUUCAAACGGAAUUUUACAAUUUCUACCUAAUGAUGGCGAGUCUGAGUAUAU
rnacentral:sRNA from 1 species